GCAUCGCUGGGUAGCUAUGUAGGGAAGGGAUAAACGCUGAAAGCAUCUAAGUGUGAAGCCCACCUCAAGAUGAGAUUUCCCAUGAUUUUAUAUCAGUAAGAGCCCUGAGAGAUGAUCAGGUUGAUAGGUUAGAAGUGGAAGUGUGGUGACACAUGUAGCGGACUAAUACUAAUAGCUCGAGGACUUAUCCAAC
rnacentral:rRNA from 1 species